GACGAACGCUGGCGGCGCGCUUAACACAUGCAAGUCGAACGGAAAGGCCCUGCUUUUGUGGGGUGCUCGAGUGGCGAACGGGUGAGUAACAAGUGAGUAACCUGCCCUUGACUUUGGGAUAACUUCAGGAAACUGGGGCUAAUACCGGAUAGGAGCUCCUGCUGCAUGGUGGGGGUUGGAAAGUUUCGGCGGUUGGGGAUGGACUCGCGGCUUAUCAGCCUGUUGGUGGGGUAGUGGCUUACCAAGGCUUUGACGGGUAGCCGGCCUGAGAGGGUGACCGGCCACAUUGGGACUGAGAUACGGCCCAGACUCCUACGGGAGGCAGCAGUGGGGAAUAUUGCACAAUGGGCGGAAGCCUGAUGCAGCAACGCCGCGUGCGGGAUGACGGCCUUCGGGUUGUAACCCGCUUUCGCCUGUGACGAAGCGUGAGUGACGGUAAUGGGUAAAGAAGCACCGGCUAACUACGUG
rnacentral:rRNA from 1 species